AUAUUUAUUUAUUUUACCUUAUUUUUUCUUUAUAUAUAUUUGAUUGAUUUUUUUUAUUUGUUUAAUAGUGAAAAACUUCAUUUGAUGAGGCACCACGGCUCCCUCAUGAAGCCGGGGGAUAGAAUUAAUUUUCUAUGUUUCGCGGUAAAAGACUUGAGAGAGAGAGAGAAUUGGAAAUUUCAUAAUACAAAAGGAUCCUACCACUACUCUUCAAGUCUUUGGCUUCAGGUAUGAAGCACGGACACGGACACGAGACACGGAUAUGAUACGACACGGAUAUGGCGAUACGGCAAAUGUGAAAAAAAUAGGACACGGACACGGACACGGCAAUAAAAUAAUAAUAUUAUUUUUUAUUAUCUAUAAAAAACUUAACUUUUGCACACUUUCUUAUAUAUUUAUAAUAAACCAAACACAUUUAAAUUAGUUCAAGCACAUAGAUUAUAUAUUUUUUAAAAGAUUCGUAGCCUAAAUUACAUUAACAUACUAUAUAUAUAUUCAACAAAACACAUUAUUUGUUGCCAAACAGAUCCAAAAGAAGCGUGUCUUCUUUGGCCUUGGUAUGUCCGCUGAUAAGAUGCGAUCUCGAUGCCUCUGCAUCACGCCACUUUAAUCCUUCCUCUAUCUCUUCAUCUCACUGAUUCAUGACCCUCUGCUUCCUUCUUUUGGUGGUCCCUUCUCAUCCCUAUUAUUUCUUUACAAACUUUUCUCUUUUAAUUGAUAUAUAUAUAAUCACACAUAUAUGAUUUCGACAUAUACCCACAUCAACUGUUAUACAGAUCUUCAUCGCAAUAUCCCUCUUCAUCUCCUUCCUCUCCAGCGUGUCUUCCGGCGCGACCCUCUUCAUCUUGUUCCUUUUUGGCGUGUCCUCCGGUGUGUCGUGCCGUAUUCAAUAUAUUAAAAAAAUUAAAAAAUACAGGACACGCUCAAAGGGGUGUCGGACACGUGUCCAGCCCUUGGACACGCUUGUCCGUGUCCGACACCAGUACGAGGAGCUUCACUGCCGUGUCGGUGCUUCACAUGGCUUUAGAGAUCACUUACGUAGACUUUACAUGGACAACGCUGGUCUUCUCGCAUCUCAAAUAAAUAUACUUAUAAGUAUAUUUAUUUAUUUUACCUUAUUUAUCAAAAAAUAUAUUUAUUUAUUUUACCUUUUUUUUUCUUUUUUUCUUUUUCUAUAUAUAUAUAUAUUUUGUUUAAUAGUGAAAAACUGCAUUUGAUGAGGCACCACGGCUCCCUCAUGAAGCCGGGGGAUAGAAUUAAUUUUUUAUGUUUCGCGGUAAAAGACUUGAGAGAGAUUGAAUUGGAAAUUUCAUAAUACUAAAGGAUCCUACCACUACUCUUCAAGUCUUCGGCGUCAGAGAUCAACUACCUAGACUUUACAUGGACAACGCUGGUCUUCUCGCAUCUCAAAGAAAAGCAAACAAGCUCAAAAAGUUUUGAAGUAUCAAAACUGUUUCAUUUAGACCAUGGUUGUUAUGAGACAACUACCAAUCAAAGGGUGAGCAAUAUGCCGCCUCAGUCAAUAUCAGGUUUACUUGUUGGGAAGAGAGAAAAAUCUCAAUGGAGUAGUAGUGUCUGAAAAAGAUAGGUAUGUUUUCUAGAGUAUUCUUUUGUUAAUUAAGAAUGCUACAUUAUAUUUGUUGUCUUUCUCAUGUAUUUAAAAAUAUUUGGAACAUAAUUUGUAUGAGUAAUGUGCCAGAUUUGUGCAUGCGUAGACACAUGCGAAUUGUGCAAUUGAGCUUUCAUUAAUUUGUUUGUGCUUC